AAGAGUAGAAGAGGACUUCGUUUUAUUGGCAUUGAACAGAACUGUCUUCCACACGUUCUAUACAACGGUAGCAUAUUGGAGUGAACGCAGGAGGCAUAUUAAAACAUAGCCAGUUCUAAGCGGUACGGAUAUUUCCUGUCAUAGAAAAGAAGUAUCCUGCCCACAGAUUCACAUUAACAUACACGGUACGUUAACGUCAAUCUCGGUAUUGUGCACCAGGCCACAGCACAUGUCUGCACGCAGGCUCACGCCCUGCGGCAAACCUAGUCCACAGUGUUCAGGGGGCACCACAGGGGACACGGAAGGAACACGGCUAGGAUUGCAUCUUUUACAUCCAAGAGCGUGCCGUUGUCUCCUAGAGCCGCCUCGGGGGUGACAUCCUAAGGCCAAGGCUCCCGCACGACGCAGGCGUUUGUCCGGCAGGUCAGAAAACUCCUAAGACCCCAGGACACUAGCACUCCGCACGGAUAACCGCCGCACCAAACAUCAGAGCGGGAAAGAAACCCCCGGCUGAGGGGGGCUCGUCUAGCUAAAUAACACUGACGUCCCGAACCGAAACGAUGAAGCAUGAACGUUGUCUUGCCACAGUUCGCGCCAGAGUUCCAAACGCCUCUCGGGCAACAAGGAACGACGGCAAGUAGCACCGUCGGGGUGCGCGUGCGGCCCCCCGCGACCGCUGAGCGGAGGGCAAACUCGGACAUGAAAGAGCCGGUCGGAUUUGCUGUUCGUUCGCUUUUCAAAACCAACCUUAUGACUUUACGUUCACUCUUCACAAACCAGACAACCCGCCCACAUGGACUUUUUUAAGAGGUUUAAAGCAACAGGCGAUUCCGCGUUCGUCUAUUAAAGGCAGCCUACGAAACAAGAAUUCCACUAAAACUUCCGGAAACAGGGUCUUCUGCCUGCCGCUGGGUACGCAGAUAAAAAGACACGGCGCCUCCCGCUCCCGCCUCCCCAGAAGCUGCGCUCCGAGCGGUCCCAGGUGGCUCGGCUGAGGCCGGGGUGAACUGCGCCCCACCCACGGCUUUGCCACCGACGGACCCACAGUAGGAGCAAGACACGCCACGAAAUGAUUCCGACCCGUCUUCCCUCCCCACCCCCCAGCGCGGAAGGCGGGGCUGCCGAGCGGCGGACGGGUCGACAGCCAAGUGCAUUCUCCCCAGCUGCCUCCGGAGGGAAACGCGGCCGAGCGGAUGCCCCGGACGAAUCAGGAGUCGGCGGUCACCGGCCUCUCGCCGGCCGCCCGGUCAACGCCCCGCCGGGCCGCAGACGAGGCGCGCGGCGCCGGCCGGCCCGGCGUCAUUCUGUCCCCGCAGCGGAACGCGACGGGCCAGGGACCCCGCACGGGGUCCCCAGGCUAGGUCUUGCUCCGCCGGAGCAGCGCGGGGUCGGGGACGGGGCCGCCCUGGAACUUGAGGCUCUGCAGGUUGACGUGGGCCCCGUGUCGAAGCAGCGUCUCCACCGUCUUGGCGUGCCGGCCCCGGGCGGCCAGGUGCAGCGCGCUGAGCCCCUGCGCGUCGGACAGGUCGAGCGCGUCGGCACUGGCCAGCUCCUCCACCACCUCCGUGUGCCCGCCGGCGGCGGCCAGGUGCAGGGCCGUCUGGCCCCGGGGCCCCCGGGCCAGCACGUCGGCCUUCUCCUCCACCAGCAGCCUGACGGUCGCCAGGUGCCCGUUCCGCGACGCCAGGUGCAAGGCGGUGCAGCCCUCGGCGGUCACCGCCUCCCUGCUGGCGCCCCGGUGCAGCAGCAGCCGGGCGGUGCUCGUGUGCCCCGUCUCCGCGGCCACGUGCAGGGGCGUCUGCGAGAGCAGGUUGCAGACGUUGACGUC
rnacentral:lncRNA from 1 species